AUGAGCCAGGAUGAGGUACAUCUGGCUCUAAAAAUUAAUGAAUGUCACCUGGCUGUGAUUAGCAGGCAGGUAUUUAACAGGGCAGAAAUGUUUGUUCUGAGCAGUCUGCAGUCGGUGUGAAGGCAAGAGGCUGUCAGUAACAGAAGGAGUCUCCGGACAAGCUCAAGGCAAGUUAAAAAGCCGAUUGAGAGGGGAUCCCCCGAGUGGUUCAACUGGUAGAAGUGCAGCGACAGGCUCUCCCCAGACACUGGAGUGUUAUGGAAACAGCGAGGAUUGCUUGAGGGAACAGGGGCAGACUGCUGAGAUAGGAUGUUGAACCAGACAAGAUGAUUUUCACAUCUACAAAGCACUGUGGAAAAUGGAAGGCAGUCCCGGAUACACCAGACAAGCGCAACAAUUCAGUAUGGGAGUAACAGACUACAGAACUGCUCAGAGUGACGACAAACACCAUACAAUUAAAAUGACAUUUGAAGCUAUUUACCCUUUAAUUAUUACCACACACUGAUAAUACGUUCUGUUUUUUACCGUAUUGUGCGUUUACAUUGAAAUAAGUAACAACUUAAGCCCCUUUCUUUUGCUGUUGGUCAUUUUGUUUUCCAGACUUCUUUCCACUUUUCUUCCCACAAUGCUACAGUUCACUUCCUGUGUUACAGGUAAUAGGACCCUACCUUCUGCCCAUAGGAAACUAUGAGGGUUCCCAUUAUGUGUCAGACAGGAUGUGAAUUUAUAGCACUCUAUAACUAGAGACCCACUCAUCUCCAAUUGUGAGAAAACUCUGACAACAUUCUUACCUCAAAU